UACGAAGGGGGCUAGCGUUGUUCGGAAUUACUGGGCGUAAAGGGCGCGCAGGCGGCCCUCCAAGUCAGGCGUGAAAGCCCCGGGCUCAACCCGGGAAUAGCGCUUGAGACUGGGGGGCUUGAGUUCGGGAGAGGAGAGUGGAAUUCCCAGUGUAGAGGUGAAAUUCGUAGAUAUUGGGAAGAACACCGGUGGCGAAGGCGGCUCACUGGCUCGUUACUGACGCUCAGGCACGACAGCGUGGGGAUCAAACAGG
rnacentral:rRNA from 1 species